CAGCCACCAUCCUCUUCAAGAAAGUACUGCAUCAAAAAACAACAACAAAAAUGCAUAGGAAAACCGGAUCCCCAAAAGCUGGAUCCCCAAAAUGCUUAUACAGAUGUAUCUCAGCAAAUCCUUCUCUGUCAUGUAGAGCUUUCUCAGCUGCAAACAAGCUACUAUUGCUGUGAGAAUAAUAGAGAAAUCCAGCUGGGGAUGGUCUGUAAUGCCACUCACAUCCCUGAACAUCCAGAGCUCUAUGAGGUGGGUAGACCAGGAAAGCAGCUGGCAAGAGCCAACAAGCUGAGACCCCUGCUUUUGAUUCCCCGGUGGGACUGAUGUCCAGGCUGUCUUCCAUGCAGCAACACCUUUCUUUCUUCCACUGAUGGCAUCAUCCUAGCACACAGUCCCAUGUUCAGACAGAUCAGAAUGAGUAGUUUUAACCUCUGACACAUUCUAAAAACAUAGGUACGGAUCGUAUACUGAAACACAGCAUGUAUUUUUGCAGAACUAAGUAGCCUGGGUGUCUUGAUAAAUCAUGAGAUCAUUAUGCCUAGCUUAUCAGAAUAAUUAUGCUAUCAGUGGCCUUGACUAAAGGAGAUUCUUUCUACUCAUCUCUAAGUUUAGUGUUAUCUUUUCACGCAGCUUACAUUGGCAUUUAAGUAAUCCAUACAGUGCAAUUAACAGGGAAUGGCCAUGAGUUUAAAGUUGAAAAGUGAGGGAAAAAGGUAGGGAUUCUCUAGCACACAUUUGAUUGUUUAGCAAUUAGCUUCUGUAGUACUGUUAACAUCAGACGUAGAUUUUGGAACAUAAAGGCUAGAUGACACUGAAAACAGACUACUUAAUAUAAAUUCAGAUACAGACUAUUUUAUUUGCAAAAGUUUGUGUCUGUUCUUAUAAUGGUUUGUCUUACAGAUAGCUCCAUAAUUCAAGGUAUUACAGAAACUAUGGGGAAUUCAUACAAUGUAAAUUUUUUUUUUUGGUAAGAACAAGACAAAGCCCUUUAUUAACUCUUAAUUCAUAUCCUUGCAUGAGAAUACUCUGAAAAAAGCCUUGUUUAGAGGAACUGCAUUACACUGAUAUUUUUGUUACAAAAUCUAAUGUUAAAAGCUGUGCUUUAACUAUACUAAGUGCUAUGUAACACUGUGUGCUCUGAAAAAUCAUGUGCUAUGUCGAUCAGAUGACAUCCCCAUGGUGAUAGUGUGGCUUUUUUUUCCUCCUGCCUGUGCUUCGGUUCCUUUUCUGUGUAACAAAGAUAAUAUCAUCCCCUCAUCUCACAAGAAUGCCAUGAAAAUUAAUUAAUUUUUGCAAUACACCCAGGUAUUA
rnacentral:lncRNA from 1 species